CUUCAAAUCAGAGAUGUAACCCACAAGUUCGAGUCCAAAACACAAGCAAGUUUGAAAAAAAUAAAUCUACUGCCAAGAGUUUCAUGCUUAAACAAUAUGUAAGAUCAAGUUUGUAUACAUUCCAAGGUUCAGAUCAACUGUAUAAUUCACAAUUAUUAUCUGGCCACUGGAAGAGAGAACGCGUAUAGAAUCAUUCUUUGAAGCUCUACGGUAAAUACUGGCUUGGACAAUCUCUCAAUUCAGUAUUAUGAUAUUUAACAAUCAAGAGCUCAUAACCAAACCAAACCGAGCCUUGUGUCCCAAGCAAUACAAUCAAGAGCUCAUAUUACCAAACAUGGUUAAGCAAAUCUGCUGCAAACAAACAAAAAAAGAAAACUUUUUUUCAAUCAGCAAGUCAGUGCGUAUUGCUUUCCAUCAGUUUCUUCCCAUUGAGCAUUAGGAGUUGUAACCUUCUUACAUCGAUUUUGCAAGGCAUAGUGGUGUUGGUGAUAAGGGAGUUAUGAGAUGGUGGAGGUGAAGGAAUGGUGCUUUCAUGAUGGUAGGGUGAGGUGGCGAUGUGACGGGGUGUAGCGGGCGGGGAAGGGAGGCAGGUGUGAAUGCUAGUCUGGGCAAUCUCUCACUUCAGUGAUGUUUGAAAAAUCAAGAGCUCAUAUUUACCAAAACUGGUUAAGCAAGUCAGCAGCAACCCCCCAAAUAACUUUUUUGAUCGGCAAGCCAGUGGCUAUUGCUUCCCAUCAGGCAUCAGUUGUCGUAGCCUUCUUACAACAAGUUUGCAAGGAAUGGUAGUGGUGGCGAUAGGGGGUAAUGGGAUGGUGAGGUAAAGAAUGGUGAUAGGGCUGCGGUCAGCGGUGGACACAAGGGGUGCCUGGGACCCUACACAACUCCAAAUAUUUUCACAUACUAUACUAGUUUUUCAAGUUAAUUUAGAAAAAUUCUAUUGGAUUGGCCCCUGCAAAUCCCUUGAGUGAAGAGAUUUUCUUGAACUUCCUAUAUGUAUGGUAAUAAUCCCUAAAAAUUCAAGUUAUCAAUCAUUUUUAGGUCGUGUAUAAAAGUGAAUGGUGGCUAUGUACAUACACUCAAUCUCGUCUCUUCCUUGGACCUUGAAAGUAGCAAUAUAUACUUAUUAAAUACACUUUUAUUGUCAAUAUAAAAUUCAUGUGGUUUGGGCCCCUGCUAGACAAAAAUCAUAUAUCCGCCAUAGGUUGCAGUGGCGGUAUAAUGGUGGGUGGCGGGCGAGGGACGCAGGUGGUGGUAUCACUGAAUGUGUGGGGUUGGUGACAGGUGGUGGGCGGUAUAUUAGUAGUUACAAACGUAGUCACCUUUAAAUAAGAAAUCUUCUACUUACUACUAAUGUUUUCAAAUCAGAAUACGUAUUGUGUAUCAUUUUUUCACUUAUAUAGUACGUAUCAAGAUACGUAUCGUGUAUCUUGAGAUACAUUUGCUAGAAGAGUAGAAGUUUUUAUUGUGUAGUUGGACAAUAUUUUUG